rnacentral:rRNA from 1 species
UACGAAGGGGGCGAGCGUUGUUCGGAUUUACUGGGCGUAAAGGGCUCGUAGGCGGCCAACUAAGUCAGACGUGAAAUCCCUCGGCUUAACCGGGGAACUGCGUCUGAUACUGGAUGGCUUGAGAUUGGGAGAGGGAUGCGGAAUUCCAGGUGUAGCGGUGAAAUGCGUAGAUAUCUGGAGGAACACCGGUGGCGAAGGCGGCAUCCUGGACCAACACUGACGCUGAGGGAGCGAAAGCCAGGGGAGCAAAGCGGG